rfam:Paenibacillus sp. FSL R5-0912, complete genome.
GACGUAUAAACGCAAACCGUUCGAAAGGACGGGACGCAAAGUCCAGGAGUCUAAAGCGCGAUGGAGCGCAACGAUCGUCCGACUGCCGUA